AAUCCCUUUCCUCAGAUGUUGAGGUUAGGACUCUAUCAAAUAUUCUGUACUCUGGCCUUGGGUUUUUACGUCCAAGAUGCAUUAUCUUGCACUUAUCCACAUUAAAUGUCAGUUGCCACAACUCUGACCAUUUUUCUAGUUUACCUAAAUCAUUUGCCAUUUGGCUUAUCCCUCCUGGAAUAUCAACCCUGUUACAUAUCU